rnacentral:rRNA from 1 species
ACUCAAAGGAAUUGACGGGGACCCGCACAAGCAGUGGAGUAUGUGGUUUAAUUCGAAGCAACGCGAAGAACCUUACCAGGUCUUGACAUCUGAGUGAAAGCCCCAGAGAUGGGGUCCUCCUUCGGGACACUCAAGACAGGUGGUGCAUGGUUGUCGUCAGCUCGUGUCGUGAGAUGUUGGGUUAAGUCCCGCAACGAGCGCAACCCUUGAUCUUAGUUGCCAGCACAUAAUGGUGGGCCCUCUAAGAUGACUGCCGGUGACAAACCGGAGGAAGGUGGGGAUGACGUCAAAUCAUCAUGCCCCUUAUGACCUGGGCUACACACGUACUACAAUGGCCGGUACAACGGGCAGCGAAGGAGCGAUCUGGAGCAAAUCCUUAUAAGCCGGUCUCAGUUCGGAUUGCAGGCUGCAACUCGCCUGCAUGAAGUCGGAAUUGCUAGUAAUCGCGGAUCAGCAUGCCGCGGUGAAUACGUUCCCGGGUCUUGUACACACCGCCCGU